rnacentral:rRNA from 1 species
GACGAACGCUGGCGGCGUGCUUAACACAUGCAAGUCGAACGGGCCUUGUCCCCUUUUUUUUGGGGGUGGGGUUAGUGGCGAACGGGUGAGUAACACGUGAGUAACCUGCCCCUCACUUCUGGAUAACCGCUUGAAAGGGUGGCUAAUACGGGGUGUUCUGGCCUGCUCGCAUGGGUGGGUUUGGAAAGAUUCGACCGGUUUUGGUUGUUUUGGUGGGGGAUGGGCUCGCGGCCUAUCAGCUGGUUGGUGGGGGGAUGGCCUGCCAAGGCUUUGACGGGUAGCCGGCCUGAGAGGGUGGGCGGUCACACUGGGACUGAGACACGGCCCAGACUCCUACGGGAGGCAGCAGUGGGGAAUAUUGCACAAGGGGCGCAAGCCUGAUGCAGCGACGCCGCGUGAGGGAUGGAGGCCGUCGGGUUGUGAACCUCUUUCGCCAGUGAAGAAGGUCCUGCUCUUUGUGGUGGGGUUGACGGUAGCUGGGUUAAUGAAGCGCCGGCUAACUACGUG